AAGAAGAUGAUUUCUUAAGUGAAUGAAGGUUAUUAGUUUACUCUUUUAAAUUACCUGACUUUGGCUGUUACAUAAAAAUAUAUUUUCCUAAUUUCUUUUCAUCAUCCAUCUUUCUAUAAAAGACUUUUAAUCAACGGGUUCUCGAUUCACCUUUUAAUUAGAGGCAAAGUUAAGCUCAGAGUAUUAAUGAAUAUUCUUUCUUAGUUUCCUUAUUAACAAUCAUUAGAUAAAUAUAUGGAAACUAUCCUUGGAUCCAUAUAAUGAGUCAAGUAAAUGCUAACAAUCUUUUCU
rnacentral:rRNA from 1 species